AUUACCAUUUGCGUAACCUCUUCACAUUUGGAAAUGGACAGGAGCUGUCAUACACCAAACUAAGUCUGUCGACCUGUGUAUAACACACAACUACACAAGUGGCAAGUGAGAGGCAACCUUCUAGCACCGGCAUACCCUUUAGUUCCAGCCAACAUGAGUGCCCUAGAAUUCCAGAGUCCAAAGGUUGGGAGUAGCCCCAGUGUCUACCGGAUGAUAACAAGGAAACUGAGUCUCCUCCUUUGCAACAAGCACAUCAAUGUGAAGUGGACUCGGAAGAGGUGGAACGGCAGAGAUCACAAACAGACGCCUGCCAAGCCAGCACCCAUCUCGGAAAGCGCGAACGAGAUGCCGGAACCAGCCGUGACCCCAAGCCUGGUGAUUCCAUACUCUGCAAACUGAAUGCCAUAGUAGCAGCCGUGUCAACUUCUCAGGCCGCAAGAUCAGCCGCAAGGCUCAGCAGCCAAGUGUUAGGAACCGGUGGCGCAAAUGAGACCCAGUGUCCUUCCAGACAAGCUAAAGAUCUUAUCCACCGGGAGCGUGUUAGCCCCUUGUUGCAGGACGGAAAUGAAACUUCGCACCGGUGGUUGUUUGGCGCUGUUGCGGAGCUGCUGGACAAUGCGGUAGACGAGGUGAACACCUCUUGUCCAUUGCCUAGCCUUGAUGGAACACAGAGCAGAUCUGCUACAUUCUUGACAAGUCCAUCCUCA